UGGGGAAUUUUGGACAAUGGGGGCAACCCUGAUCCAGCAAUGCCGCGUGUGUGAAGAAGGCCUUCGGGUUGUAAAGCACUUUUGUCCGGAAAGAAAACGUCGUGGUUAAUACCCGUGGCGGCUGACGGUACCGGAAGAAUAAGCACCGGCUAACUACGUGCCAGCAGCCGCGGUAAUACGUAGGGUGCAAGCGUUAAUCGGAAUUACUGGGCGUAAAGCGUGCGCAGGCGGUCCGCUAAGACAGAUGUGAAAUCCCCGGGCUUAACCUGGGAACUGCAUUUGUGACUGGCGGGCUAGAGUAUGGCAGAGGGGGGUAGAAUUCCACGUGUAGCAGUGAAAUGCGUAGAGAUGUGGAGGAAUACCGAUGGCGAAGGCAGCCCCCUGGGCCAAUACUGACGCUCAUGCACGAAAGCGUGGGGAGCAAACAGGAUUAGAUACCCUGGUAGUCCACGCCCUAAACGAUGUCAACUAGUUGUCGGGCCUUCAUUGACUUGGUAACGUAGCUAACGCGUGAAGUUGACCGCCUGGGGAGUACGGUCGCAAGAUUAAAACUUAAAGGAAUUGACGGGGUCAUAGCUGUUUUCCU
rnacentral:rRNA from 1 species